rnacentral:rRNA from 1 species
AACGAACGCUGGCGGCAUGCCUAACACAUGCAAGUCGAACGAGAUCUUCGGAUCUAGUGGCGCACGGGUGCGUAACGCGUGGGAAUCUGCCCUUCGGUUGGGAAUAACUGAGAGAAAUUUCAGCUAAUACCUUAUAAUGUCUUCGGACCAAAGAUUUAUCGCCGAAAGAUGGGCCCGCGUAGGAUUAGCUAGUUGGUGGGGUAAAGGCCUACCAAGGCGACGAUCCUUAGCUGGUCUGAGAGGAUGAUCAGCCACACUGGAACUGAGACACGGCCCAGACUCCUACGGGAGGCAGCAGUGGGGAAUAUUGGACAAUGGGCGAAAGCCUGAUCCAGCAAUGCCGCGUGAGUGAUGGAGGCCUUAGGGUUGUAAAGCUCUUUUACCAGGGAUGAUAAUGACAGUACCUGGAGAAUAAGCUCCGGCUAACUCCGUGCCAGCCGCCGCAGUAA